rnacentral:rRNA from 1 species
AGAGUUUGAUCAUGGCUCAGGACGAACGCUGGCGGCGUGCCUAAUACAUGCAAGUCGAACGAACUCUGGUAUUGAUUGGUGCUUGCAUCAUGAUUUACAUUUGAGUGAGUGGCGAACUGGUGAGUAACACGUGGGAAACCUGCCCAGAAGCGGGGGAUAACACCUGGAAACAGAUGCUAAUACCGCAUAACAACUUGGACCGCAUGGUCCGAGUUUGAAAGAUGGCUUCAGCUAUCACUUUUGGAUGGUCCCGCGGCGUAUUAGCUAGAUGGUGGGGUAACGGCUCACCAUGGCGAUGAUACGUAGCCGACCUGAGAGGGUAAUCGGCCACAUUGGGACUGAGACACGGCCCAAACUCCUACGGGAGGCAGCAGUAGGGAAUCUUCCACAAUGGACGAAAGCCUGAUGGAGCAACGCCGCGUGAGUGAAGAAGGGUUUCGGCUCGUAAAACUCUGUUGUUAAAGAAGAACAUAUCUGAGAGUAACUGUUCAGGUAUUGACGGUAUUUAACCAGAAAGCCACGGCUAACUACGUGCCAGCAGCCGCGGUAAUACGUAGGUGGCAAGCGUUGUCCGGAUUUAUUGGGCGUAAAGCGAGCGCAGGCGGUUUUUUAAGUCUGAUGUGAAAGCCUUCGGCUCAACCGAAGAAGUGCAUCGGAAACUGGGAAACUUGAGUGCAGAAGAGGACAGUGGAACUCCAUGUGUAGCGGUGAAAUGCGUAGAUAUAUGGAAGAACACCA